GAUUAGGGUUCUUGUUGUGUCGUUCCCUAUCCCUCUUCUCCUUCUACACACCAACGGCGGCGAUGGAGAAUCUCACCGUCUCCGAUCGAAACAUCUCAGCCUCUCAAUCACAAAACCUUCAUCGCCCUCCUUCCACCGUGAAGCAAAAUCAUCAUCUUCCGUCUCUCAUCUCCGAAUCGAACAAAAUCACAAUAACCGAACACCAAACGCGAGAUUGAAUGCAUCAAGAGGUUUACCUGGAAAGUAAUUGAAGAUUACGAAGUCAAAGAGGAGAUUUCGAAAGCUCAGGCGCAAAGAGUAGAGUUCUUCGAUCGAUUGGCGAAAUAAACGCGCCGAGUACUUUGUUCCGAUGAAAAGAAAAUGGAGACUUGAUGAUUCGUUGAUGAAGAUGAAGAUGAUGAUUGUUGUUGAAGGUUGCUAAUGAUUGAAGAGUUCUUGGUGAUGAUUGAAGGAGCAGGAUUGGUGAAGAUUUUUCUGUGAAUUUUUCGUGUCGAUUUAAGAUGAUGAUUGAUGAGGAGUUUGAAGGAUAAUUGAAUGUGAAGUGUGGAUGAAGAAGGUUCAGAGAAAAGAGAUGAAGAUGAAGAGGAAUGAAAGUGAGAAAUCGUGGAGAAAGCGAAGAAUGGUGGUUGAGAGUGGAAGAAUGAUGGAGAGGCUUGAAUGAAGGUGGAGAAGAGAAUAUAUAGGUGGAGAAAAUCGAUUCUGAAGGUCCUGGCUUGGUUUUGGGGAUGGAAUAUGGGGCAUGAGCUGCGGUAGAAGUCAUAUUGAAGAAGAGAUUGAGAGUAAUGAUUGUUGGUUGCUGAUAAAGAAACCGAGCCACUGGAAAAAGAAUGCAAGGGAACAGCGUCACCGAAAUUGAAUGUGCUGCUGUUGAAAAAUAUAUAUUUUUUGUAAUUUUUGUAAUGAAUGGAAUGGAUGAAUAUUGUAUGUAAUGAAGUUUAUUUUGUAUGGGAAUUAUGCAUGAGGCUUGAAGUAUGUAAGUUUAUGGUUUGAGUUAUGACUAUAUGAAGGACAAUUAUGGAUGAUUGGAACAAUGACAAGAAGUUGUUCGGGAAUUCGAAUGAUAUGUAAAACU